GAUGAACGCUAGCGGGAGGCUUAACACAUGCAAGUCGAGGGGUACGGUAGCAAUACUGGAGACCGGCGCACGGGUGAGUAACGCGUAUGCAACCUGCCCUUUACAGGGGGAUAGCCCGUCGAAAGGCGGAUUAAUACCCCAUAAGAUAGUACCCUCGCAUGAGGGAGCUAAUAAAGCUUCGGCGGUAAAGGAUGGGCAUGCGUGACAUUAGCUAGUUGGUAGGGUAACGGCCUACCAAGGCUACGAUGUCUAGGGGUUCUGAGAGGAAGGUCCCCCACACUGGUACUGAGACACGGACCAGACUCCUACGGGAGGCAGCAGUGAGGAAUAUUGGUCAAUGGGCGCGAGCCUGAACCAGCCAUCCCGCGUGCAGGAAGACGGCCCUAUGGGUUGUAAACUGCUUUUGUGCAGGAAGAAUGUGCCCAUCGUGAUGGGUAGUGACGGUACUGCAUGAAUAAGCACCGGCUAACUCCGUG
rnacentral:rRNA from 1 species